rnacentral:rRNA from 1 species
UACGAGUGCUUCGAGCGUUAUCCGGAAUCAUUGGGCGUAAAGGGUGUGCAGGCGGUCUUGUUAGUCUUCUGUUAAAUUUCUCGGCUUAACCGGGAACCUGCAGGGGAAACGGCAAGACUUGAGGAUGCGAGAGGUUAACGGAACUCAUAGUGUAGCGGUGAAAUGCGUUGAUAUUAUGGGGAACACCAAAUGCGAAGGCAGUUAACUGGAGCACUCCUGACGCUGAGACACGAAAGCGUGGGUAGCGAAUGGG